GGGUGAGAUGAGGGGAGGAUCACUCACAUGCGAGAGGUCAGAGGUUCAAAUCCUCUGCCACCCACCA
rnacentral:tRNA from 2 species